GAGGUCACAUUAAUAUUAAUCUAAAUUAGCAAAUAUACAAAAUAAAUACAACACAGUACGAGUAGAUACCGGUAAACAUAAUACGAGCAUUAUCUACCCUUGAAUUGGAUUUUUUCUCAGCACAUACAAAUAUUUACCGAUUUAACACACUGUAAUAGUACCUAAACAUAAUCUAUUUUUAGAAUAGGUACUAAAACUAUGUUAACAUUGUUCUAAACUCUAAUAAUUAAGUUAUAUUAUAUUAUAAUCAUACAUUGGUAUAGUAUUUUGUAAUUAUAAUUAUUAUGUAUUUGGAUACAAGUAAAUAGAUAUAUAAUAAUAUUAACGAUAUUAGUUUAACCGUUAUAUUAUUAUAAAUUGCAGAUGUAGUAUACACACAGAAUGCAGUAGGACAAUCUGACACUUUUACAUGUCACUAUAAUGUAAAAAUGUCAAAUAAUCCUGUUACACCCUGUAUAUGUAUAAUUUAUACAAUGCGUCUCCGGGGAAAGUGACCGAUCGGCAUUUUGUGAAAUCACACCAAAAAUGACAGAGAAACCCUCUUUAAACGGGAGGGUGGGGGUACAACAUUUGUACUUUUUAAGUUAUCGGAAAUUUAAGUUUUUUUUUUUUUAAUGAAACCGUACCUGAUGUGCAUUUUUGUCGUGUACCUUUAAAAAUGUUCAACUUACGAACAUAAUUUUUUUCAUAUUAAAGCUAUUCUAUUGUGUUAUAAAUAGGUACACAAUUAAUCCAAAAAUACAUUAAUUAUUCGUACUAAAAAAAAAGCAAAAAUUUGUAUUUUUAAAAAUAAAUCACGUUUAACUCCAAAAAAUUUUAUAUUUACUAACGUUGUUUCUUUUUUUUUUUAAAUUUUAUUAUUCUACUGAAAAAUACCCACAAUAACUUAAAAGUGUUGUUUUCGUAUCUUCCAUCAUUGCAGAAUUAGGUUAUACACUGUUAAACACGAUACUUUAAACCUAAAAACGUCUGGCUUAAUUGUGUGUGUGUGUGUGUGUGUUGGUCAAUAGCAAAAUAGAAUAGCUUUAAAAUAAAAAAAAAAAAGGGCGGGGGACACAUUGUAUAAACAUGUUUAUAAGUUUACUGACUGCUAUAUUUAAGCAGCUUUAUAAUAAUAUACCCGUCACUAAAAAUUAUUAUAGGUACAACAAAAAUGGUGACUAGAUAUUGUAAAUUACAUAUGAUAAUAGGUAUAUAUUAUAUUUUUUUUUUGUACAAAUUAUAAAAACCAUAUACUAACGCUUUACACACUACGAUCAUUUGGCACGUAAAUGCGGAAAACUUGAGUUUCGUAUCAUGUUUCACAUUUUUUAAUGACAUCAUAUUUUGUAACGUUUUCAGUCAGUGUUGUGUUAUAAUAUUAUCAUGCUAAAAUAUAACAAUUUAUGUACAUCAAAUAUUCAAUGUAGGUUUACAUUAUACGGAUACAGGUAUGAUUAUUGUUAUAAUUUUUUUUUUUUUU